GAAGCAGCCCACCACCAUCUUGGAAGCGGCCCACCACCAUCUUGGGAGCUCUGGGAGCAAGGACCCCCCAGUAACAGUAAUGCUUAUUAAGUGUGGCUAUCUUGAGAUUUUAGGACUGACAUGUCAUUACAGCUGUCUUACUUCAGAUUGGCACACUCCACUAACACUUGAAGUAAGCAAUAUGAAAUGUUUAAGUAAUUUUGUAUUGAUGUGAAGAUCUUUGAGGACAAAGGAGAUGCCCUGAAUGACAACACAUCCAUAGCCCACUCCCCGUGUCCUAGGCAAGCCCAGCUGUUAAGAUCCCCUAAAAGUCUGCUCCAGUGAUUGACGCUUAGUGUGGAUUAUGGACACUGUCUCCCACUUGCAG
rnacentral:lncRNA from 10 species